GGGCCGAGGGGAGAGGCGCCUGGCAGAUGGGGGGGGGGGGGGGGGGCGGGGGCGAGAUCUCAGCCAAGCGCAGGGAACGGACCGUCCCGGGCUGGGAAAGGGAGAGGCUGCGAGCCACAGGUGGGCAAUCCCGCCAAACUCGCGCUCCUGCUGCGAGGGGCUUCUCGGUCCCUAGCUCCCCUCGGUCUCGGGGACCCCGGUGCAGGCAAGGAACGGAUCGCCCCAAAGAGGAGCCCGGGUUCGGGCGGCUGCUGCUCAGGGCAGGCACGGAACCGGUGGCGCUCCCCGGCUAGCAGAAGCGGCGCGCGGGACCGGCUCCUGUCCAGGCGCCCGAGCGGCACCGACGGCGACUGUCCAGGCGGGCGGGCAGCGGAGGCUGCUUUGGAGACUAGGGUCUCACAGGGGCUGGACUGUGUCCACACAGCCACGGCAGCAUCACGCCCCCCCUCCGAUCCCCGCCGGCUUCCCGGUGCCUCCCGCCUGAGGGGCUGCAGUCCGCGGAGCCUGCCAGCCCGCCUCCCCGCCUCGCCCGCCGCCCGCUGCGCCCGAUCUACUCACUGACCAGGAGCCGCUGCCCCCGUCAGGGGGGAUCCCGAUCGCUGUCAACGUUCUCCCGCCUCCUGGAGUCACACCAAGCGCCCCUGCCCCCAACUCUGCGGGUCCCAGGCGGGAGGCCGGCACUGGCCUCGGCCCGGCUCUUCCCCGGCCGCCAGCCCCUCCCCCUGCCGGCCUCAGGCCCUCCACUCCGGGCCAGCCAGUGCUCGCGCUCCUCGCCCCUCUUUAAAGUGGUGGCUCAGCCUUCGCCCCGCUUCAGUGUAGCCCGAGAUCACAGGGACCGAGGGAACAGAGAAGAAACACAAAGUCUUCUCCAUCCCCCUCAAGAAUCUUGGAUCUAAUUGCUUUGGGAGCUCCCUUCAAUAAUAAGGACCCCAACUGAUGAAUGGUUUCUCACCCUCUUCACUCUUCUCCAUGUUCUCCCCUGGGUGGCCCUCUCAAGUCCUGCCAGUCUCCUUCCUAAAGUCUUCUUGAAAAUCAGAGUUCAAAGUAAAUAGAGGGUGAAGGGACCUAACAGAUGGUAAAACUUCAGGCUAAAGAGAUCCCAUGCCUCAUCCAGGGACCCACAAGUCCUAAGCAAGGACUGGCAUCUAACCCCCAGGGCUGCUGAGACUUUAGGUUCACUGACUUUUCCAUUCAAAUAUGGUGCUCAUUUAAGGCUUCUGUUUCCUCUGGAAACUGGAUAAAUUUCUGGAAAAUGAAGGGGUGCAGCUCUGUGAUCACCGAGGACCCCUUGGAGCUCUCUAAAGCCCCUGGCUUUAUGACCAGCAGUUUCCAUACUGGUAUUUGGAGAGUAGGUGAGAAAACAGAAGCCAGAAGAUGUUUGGCAACAGGUCCCUCAUGAGCUGUCACAAAGGGGUUACAGUGAAACAGAGUAACUGAGUAUUGUAGGGGAAUAAAAGGAGGUUUAUGGAUCCAUUUCACGUCAUUCUUCAAUAUUAGAAGAAUAUUGAUCCACUGUAUCCUGAAAUGAAGCAAUGUGUUCUUCUCCAUUCAUAUCCACAACAUCCACACAAACUAAAUUCUUUUCUCAUCUACGCUACUCAGAACAUUUCCAGGGUCAUUCCUUCCUGUGACAUCUAUUUUCUCAGUCCCUCAAAAGGGUCCCUCAAAUAUUGCUAGAGCUCAUUUUGCCUGUAACUUUUCUCCUUAAUCCAUUAUCUGGACUAAUCUAUAUGCUUGUCCCAAUUGCUUUCUCCUUCCUCACAUAUCCUUGAGGGCAGAGACUGCUAUUGUUUUAUUUUCUGGGGGAUGGAUCUCUGAAAGUAGAUUAAAAGUCAUGGUAGAUUGGGUCAUGCCCAAUGGCAGGGAGAGUUAUGUGCCUAUCAAUGAUUGUACAAAGGCAGGAUGUGAGCCCCUCUGUCGACUGGGGCAUGUUACAUGUCGCCUUGUCCAUAGUAAAUAUCUAAUAUGUGUUUGCAUUAAAGAUUUCUCAAUUCUAAAGACUAAAACAAGGAACUUCCGUGACUAAUCUCCUUAGAACACUAAGAUUACAAAAGGAAAAAUCCUUCCUGGAUGUUGAUCAUCUUCCAAUAUUACAUGCCAUCAAAGUCUCAGUAAUGUUUGGAUUUCUUAAUUUAGGGCAGUUGAGAUGCAAGUGAAUUCCUCAGAAAACUCUUUGAACUUCUGAAGGAUUUCCCUGAUCACAACAUAGUAAGUCAACCAUGUAAAACAGAGCUUCAGCUGCCCCAUUAUCAGAAUUAUUUUUUUCUUCCACAACAUUCUUCAUAAUGUGAUAAAAGUGUGAAAAUACUCAUUUUCAGAAAAAGAACUGAGAAAAAAAGGUGGGAGGAAGGAAACCUCAGUCUUACUGAGUACAACUUUUGUUUUGAAAAAAAAACAAAACAAAACAACAACUGGGUAUUGUUAAGAGUAUUUUGGACUUGUGUCCAAAUGUACUUUUUGUAUUUACUAGCUUUUGGAGUACAGGCAGGUCACUUCAACCCUCUCUCAAUCUCAGAGGUGUUCAUCUGUAAGAUGAAAAUGGUGAAACCUGUAGAUCACCCUGAUCUACACCCCUGAAUAAGAGAACUGAUACAAGGAUAGAAAUAUCAGUUAUUUUUAUGUAGAACUUGCUUUGUUUGUUCUAGCUCAUUUUCUGUACUAUUGCUCCCAAUAGCCCUAACUAGCCUCUUUAACUUUUCAGUUCAAUCAUUUUCAUAGAUCUCUGCAAACCUUUUCUACUGUUUAUCAAACACUAGGAUUACAAAGAUAAACACAAUAUUGUCCUUGUAGUCAGCUGUUCACUUUUAUGAUGUCAGUCAAAAAUCAAUAAGCACUUAUUAAGCAAGAGAGAGAGAGAGAGACAGAGAGAGAAAGAGACAGAGAGGCAGAAAGACACAGAGACAGAGACAUAAUGGGAGAGAAUGAGAGAGACAAAGGCACCGAGACAAAGAGAAAGGAAGAGAGAACAUAUGGUCAUAUAAAUAUAUUCAAAGAAAAGACAGAUUUUGGGAUAAUCAGAAAAAAGCCUCAUGUAGAAGAUGAAAAUUUGAGAUGAUCUUGGAAGGAAGUGAGGGAAAUCAAGGAGUCUGGAGUGGGAGGAAGCAUUCAAUACAGACAGUCCAUCAAAGUUGGUGAUGGAUUGUGAAAAUGCUUUGACUAAGGUAUUAUUGAUUGCCUGUGCCAACUUCCUUUGUGCAUUUCUUUUUGCGUUCCUCAUCCAUGAGCUGUUGACCUACACAUUGAUGAGGGUUUUUUUUCUUUAAUAAGAAAAAAAAUAUUCCAGUCACAGUGAUAUGUCUUUAAAAAAAUGAUGACCAUGGGAAAUUCAUAAAUGUUGAAAAAGGCUGACUUGUUAGCACAAACCUAAUUUUAAAAUCUCUUUAAUGCUACUGAGCCCUUAGCUUUCCUUUACCAGUAAUUUAGGAAGUUUUCCCACUUGCAGAAACCUAGAGGUUUAUAAAGAAUGUUAAGAUCAUAAGCCCUUUAUAUAGGUUAUAGAGAUUCAUGUUCCUUAAAUAAUAAAAAAAGUCCAAUGUCUUUUUAGACAAGUAAUCUUUCAAAGUUUAUAUAUGACAAUAUAAAGUAUUUACACAACCACAUAUGACACAUAUGAUACUUGAUACAUUCAUUUAUUUAAUAAAUUUAUUUAGCUAAAGUACAUCUGUAAUUCCACAAACAGAGCUUGGUGCAGGGGGAAAAAGUUCACCUUUUUAAUUAAUUUAAAAUGUCAACUUCUCACCUCGUAGCUCUUUCUACUUGGAAAAGUCACAACUUCUCUGAGUUUUAUUAUCUUCACUUUUACCUUCAUUUUCAUCGAUUAAAUGAGGGGAUAGCACUGAGUAGCUUAUAAAGUCCCAUCCAGCUUUCCAUCUAUGAUUGUAUGAAGUGCCAACUGGGUCCUAGAAGUUGAAAAAGAAAGGAAGAAAUGCAAUAGUCCCUGUGCCCCCUCCCCAGCUUACAAUUCACUGGAGACAUUCCAAUCUCUUUGCAUAUAUGAUCUGUUAUAUAUUGUUAUAUAUAUACAUACAUAUAUACAUAUUAUCUGCUCUAUAUUGCUAUAUAAAUUAUAUUGUUAUAUAUAAUAUAUAUUAAGUAGAACAAAUGAAGGAGAAAUUUUAGAGAAAAGGUUUCUCCAAAGAUUCUGUUCAUCUGUUAAAGCCUGCGCAAUGGGAAAAGAGUCAAUUUUAAAUGAGGUUUCAUUGCUUAGAAUGCUUUGUUAUAUAGAGUUGGAUCAUAGCUAAACAUCUACCCACCCAUGACUAUAUUCUCCUGCUCAGGAAAUCCUGAGAAAGUGAAACAUCCUUUUGUUUUAUCCUUCAUGUCCAUAUGUGUGGUCCAAGUUUAUGUUCUGUGUGCCAGGCUGGAUCAUGGAGGGAUAUUCGGGUGCAGAUACAUAGUUCAAGAUGGGCAGUGUUCCAAAAAAGGAGAUAAUUCGGAGGCAAAAUAUGGCUGUGGGAAAAAGCCCAGGGUUCAGGAGCAGUGAGGACACUGUAUGACUAGAGAAGAAGGGAUAUACUGGCAAAUAGUCAGAGAUAUAAGAGGACAUCCAUCAGUAUCACCCUUUGAGAUCCAAGAUGACAGUAUUGGACUUGACAAGAUUAGAGUUGGACUUUUAGCUUCUAUUAGGGCAGAAAGAUGACAAAUGAAGUGUCUCAUUUUAGCAGAAAAAUGGGCAGGACUUGGUGUCCCAUUGGAGAUAAGCAAUGAAGGAGCCAUAAUCAAAAAUAACUGUGUAGGUUUUGCCUGAAGAUGAAUACUAUGAUUUUUCAGAAAUCAGAGGGGAAAUCAGUAUAGAUUUAUAUUUAGGGGAAAAUGGUAGCAUCAUAAAGAAAGCAUCCUUGGACUCUUCUUCCAAAUUUCUUUUAAGAGGAUCUUAUAUAUUCAACAGUCUGGCAGAGACUAAGUAUCUAAUUGAAAGCAGACUUGAGGAGAGCCCAGUCUUAGCUAGAUGUAUGGUCAGCACAAAGUGGCUGCUUUUCCUCCCUCCCUCCCUUUCUUUCUCCCUCCCUCCCUCUUUUUUUCCCUCCCUCCCUUCCUUCUCUUCCUCCCUCCCUCCCUCCCUCCUUCCCUCCCUCCCUCCCUCCCUCCCUCCCUUCCUCCUUCCUUCCUUCCUUCCUUCCUUCCUUCCUUCCUUCCUUCCUCCCUUCCUUCCUUCCUUCCUUCCUUCCUUCCUUUCUUCCUUCCCUCCUUCCUUCCUUCCUUCUUUUCCAUCCUUCUCUCUCUCUCUCUCUCUCUCUCUCUCUCUCUCUCUCUCUCUCUCCCUCCCUCCCUCCCUUCCUUUCUUUGUCUGUUUCUUUUUAAGAAGUUGAGUUUAGAAUAAAUUGCUACCAUUAAUAAGAUCACAGAAUCAUAUCUUUGAGUUGGAAGAGACCUCAGGUCAACCCCUAUGAAUUAAUUUCUUUAUAUGAGUCCCAGAAAAAUGAACUAUAUUUUUAAUGUAAAAUAUUUUAAUUAUAUUUUAUUUUUUUUCAAAAACAUGCAAAGAUAAUUUUCAACACAAGGUAAUAUCUUAUCCAAAAUUCCAGCAAUGAUGGGAAGAGUUGAAAUCCUCCAGCCUCUGUUUCUGAAUCUGAGAUGAUACUGGUAUCUAAGCUCUACAUCAAAAGAAGUUAAACAAUCUAAGAGGAAAAUGGGGAGGGAGUCAAUUCCAGGCACAUGGAGAGGUUGUGAAAAGAUACAGACAAAAAGAUAUUUUUAAUUCAAAAUCAAAAUUGUUAGCGAUAUAUUUUAAAUUACCAGGUUCAUUCAAUUAGCAAGAAAUCUAUCUUUUUCCACUCAGCCUAUGGAAGAAAUGCUCAUUUUAUGUAAUUAUUUGAUGCUAAAUUAAAUCCAUAAAGCCCAGAGAUAUAGAACUUUUAAAAAUGGAAAAUUCCCAUUCUUGGUCAAGAUACAAACUAUGAAUGACUUUCUUGUAUAUCCCAACUUUGUUCUUCAACUACACAUAGAAUCAUUAAAUUCCAUUUUUAUGUGGGAAGAGAAAUUAUGAUUAAUAUGAAUAAUUAAAAACAUUUAAAUUAUAUUUGGUUCAGGGAUAUAAUCAAUCAGUGUGGUUUUAUUAAGUACUCAUCAUUUUCCAGACAUUUUGUUGAUAAUGGAGAUUCAAAGGGGAAAAAAAAAAAAGACAGUCCUUGUCCUUAAGGAGUUUACAUUGUAAUGGGCAUGUAGAGUUUUAGGCUUGAAGUCAGAAAGUCAAUGCCAGUUCAUACACCUAUUACAUGUGUGACCUUGAACAAGCCACUUAACUUCUGCUUACCUCAAUCUCUUCAUCUGUAAAUUGGGAAUAAUAAUAGCAACCAUCUCAUAAAAUUGUUAUAAGGACUAAAUACUUAAAACACUCUAUAAAUAUAUUAUUAUUGUUAUUAUUAUCCUAUGAAUACAUACAUAUGUAUUUCAUUCCAAUUAUGCCUAUUUCUGGAUCCUUCCUGACUUGUUCCUAAUUUUUUUAAGUUGAAGAUCUAGAAACAUAAAUGUCACUUCAGAAGAUGGAUUCAAGAAAAGCCUUUGGACCUGACCUAUUAACCACAAAAGAAACUCUUACUGGAGGCAGCCCAAGUUUAAAAUCAUUUGAAGAUUGGUUCACAAAAUCUCUCAGAGGGCAAGAUAAAUACUUGCUAAACUGAAUCAAAUUCCAAAAGAUUAGAAAAGGUCACAAUGUGGGGAGAGGGCUAGGGAGUUUACAAAAAAUUUAGACCCAGAAAACCAUCCAUUGACAUAUAUGCUUUUCUUAGAACAAAUCCACUUAUUCAUAUAUAAUCAGGGAAUGAUGAAUCAACCAUCCCAAAUUGCUUCUUAAAACAAAAUCCAUCUUUUAAUUACAAUAUUCUCCUGGCGUUGUUGUAUUUUUGUGCAUCAUGGGCUCUUGAAGUUUCUUUAGGACUGAAUGGUUUGAAUGGGUAUUGGGGUGUGUGUCGGGGGGAGAGGUGAUAGUUGUUGGAGCAGGCUACAACACAUUACCAUGGAGUAAUGGAAUUGUGGCAAGGCAACUAAAAAGCCAAUAGGUUUUUGAGUGGGUAUAAGAUAUAACCAAUGGAGCCCUUAUGUGUUUUGUUAUUGCCCUUUUGAUGUCAAGAAAAAUGCAAGUGAGAGAUAAUUUUAGGUAGAUCUCCUUUGGUGAAUUUUUGGUAAGAACAAGGAAUUGAAAAAAAAUGCAGGAAGACAGGAAUAUAUGGCUUGUCAUCUGUAUUGUUGAUGGAAAUGUCCACAGGAGGCAGCAGGAUUCUAUGAGAACAGUGACUUUGUGGUUAAAGGGCCUACCUUAAAAAAAACUAACUCUGCCAAUGAUUGUAAUUACGUCUUCACCUCAGUUUCCUUAACUGAAAAAUAUUUAGGUUGAAUUAGAUAAUCUCUGAAGGCAACUCUAACUCUAAAAUCUCUGAUUCCAUGAAAUCCCAUAUCUCUUAGAGCAUUUGAUUAUGGCUUCAAUCAAGCUAAUUAGCUUUAAUUCUUUUUCAGGCAAUACGGAC
rnacentral:lncRNA from 1 species